rnacentral:rRNA from 1 species
CCCUUAGAUGUCCGGGGCUGCACGCGCGCUACACUGUCGGAUUCAGCGAGUCAUAUCCUUAACCGAAAGGUUUGGGUAAUCUUUUGAAAGUCCGACGUGAUGGGGAUUGAUCAUUGCAAUUAUUGAUCAUGAACGAGGAAUUCCUAGUAAGCGCGAGUCAUCAGCUCGCGUUGAUUACGUCCCUGCCCUUUGUACACACCGCCCGUCGCUACUACCGAUUGAAUGGUUUAGUGAGAUCUUCGGAUUGGCGCCUACGCGGCUUCUCUGAGGCCACGCUGGAUGCCGAAAAGUUGCUCAAACUGUAUCAUUUAGAGGAAGUAAAAGUCGUAACA